rnacentral:rRNA from 1 species
AACGAACGCUGGCGGCAUGCCUAACACAUGCAAGUCGAACGAGACCUUCGGGUCUAGUGGCGCACGGGUGCGUAACGCGUGGGAACCUGCCCUUAGGUUCGGAAUAACUCCCCGAAAGGGGUGCUAAUACCGGAUAAUGUCUUCGGACCAAAGAUUUAUCGCCUUUGGAUGGGCCCGCGUUGGAUUAGCUAGUUGGUAGGGUAAAAGCCUACCAAGGCGACGAUCCAUAGCUGGUCUGAGAGGAUGAUCAGCCACACUGGGACUGAGACACGGCCCAGACUCCUACGGGAGGCAGCAGUGGGGAAUAGUGGACAAUGGGCGAAAGCCUGAUCCAGCAAUGCCGGGUGAGUGAUGAAGGCCUUAGGGUUGUAAAGCUCUUUUACCCGGGAUGAUAAUGACAGUACCGGGAGAAUAAGCUCCGGCUAACUCCGUG